GGGUUUCAGUUAUUAGCAAUAGCCGCACCCAGGCCCUUGAGAAAGCGUUCGGUGACAGCGAAAAGAAUGAGCUGCGCCUUAGUAUAGUAAAACAAGUUCAGCGGUUACCUGGCAAUGAUACAUGCGCAGACUGUACCUCUAAAGAUCCCACAUGGUUGUCGACGAACCUCGGCGUCUUGACGUGUAUCGAGUGCUCAAGAGUUCAUCGCG